ACAUGCACUCCUUUCUCUUUUAGUAUUCUUAACCACAGGAUCACUCCUAGUGGUUUCCUAAGUUUAUUGAAAUCAGCUUUCUUACAGUCUAGAAUGUGUGUCUGACUAUACUUGGAAUCCCCUUUCCACUGUAUAACAAACUCCAGG